rnacentral:rRNA from 1 species
UGGGGAAUAUUGGACAAUGGGCGAAAGCCUGAUCCAGCCAUGCCGCGUGUGUGAAGAAGGUCUUCGGAUUGUAAAGCACUUUAAGUUGGGAGGAAGGGCAGUAAGCGAAUACCUUGCUGUUUUGACGUUACCGACAGAAUAAGCACCGGCUAACUCUGUGCCAGCAGCCGCGGUAAUACAGAGGGUGCAAGCGUUAAUCGGAAUUACUGGGCGUAAAGCGCGCGUAGGUGGUUCGUUAAGUUGAAUGUGAAAGCCCCGGGCUCAACCUGGGAACUGAAUCCAAAACGGGCGAGCUAGAGUAGGGCAGAGGGUGGUGGAAUUUCCUGUGUAGCGGUGAAAUGCGUAGAUAUAGGAAGGAACACCAGUGGCGAAGGCGACCACCUGGGCUCAUACUGACACUGAGGUGCGAAAGCGUGGGGAGCAAACAGG